AUUGAGCGCUGGCGGCAUGCUUUACACAUGCAAGUCGAACGGUAACAGGCCUUCGGGUGCUGACGAGUGGCGAACGGGUGAGUAAUGCAUCGGAACGUACCCAGAGGUGGGGGAUAACGCAGCGAAAGCUGUGCUAAUACCGCAUGUGAUCUGAGGAUGAAAGCGGGGGACCGAGCAGCAAUGUUUGGCCUCGCGCCUUUGGAGCGGCCGAUGUCGGAUUAGCUAGUUGGUGGGGUAAAGGCCUACCAAGGCGACGAUCCGUAGCUGGUCUGAGAGGACGACCAGCCACACUGGGACUGAGACACGGCCCAGACUCCUACGGGAGGCAGCAGUGGGGAAUUUUGGACAAUGGGCGCAAGCCUGAUCCAGCAAUGCCGCGUGCGGGAAGAAGGCCUUCGGGUUGUAAACCGCUUUUGGCAGGAACGAAACGGUGUCCGCUAAUACCGGGCGCUAAUGACGGUACCUGCAGAAUAAGCACCGGCUAACUACGUG
rnacentral:rRNA from 1 species